rnacentral:lncRNA from 1 species
UAGAAACCUGAGUCCCUAACUCUGAUUUUUUUCACUAUGAUCGUUUUUGAUGGACCCGAUCACAAAACUUGACUCGUUUAGCAUCUAAGACUGUUCUAAUACUUUGUAGUAAGAAAAAUUCAACUUGUUUUUUUUUUGUCCAAAAAUGGUAAUUUAUGUGAUGGAGAGUGUUGAACUUGUUAAAAGAUUUAUAGUAUCAUAUAGUUGCGUUUUAUAGGUUCAACAAGAUGGAUAGUGUAAAUCAUUUUGUUAAUUUGUACUUUAAAAGAUUUUUUCAUCAAAUAUGUUUAUAAUCGAUCAACGAAUGGCAUACAAAAUGUUCACUGUUUUAUGUGGUAUAUAUAUAUAUAUAUAUAUAUAUAUAUAUAUAUAUAUAUAUGAUUUAAAUUUUCGUACCUAUAUUGAUAUGUUUUUCUUCUUCUUCGUGGACAUCGGACAACUUCUGCAGAGAAUCAUACCAAAAUUCUAGUGAUCAUCGGAUAACUUUUACGGAUUUUCAAGGGAUUCUCUGAGACUUGAAAGCUAUGGAAAAUCAAGACUCAUCCCAAAAGGAGUGAAUUUUCAGUUACUGAGAUUGAGUUGAUAGAGGAAUUAAUUCUUAGGCCUUCUGUCAAUCUCGAGAACAUUGAACGCAACCCUGUUACUCAGAUAAGUUCUUCCUUUUGUUUCACUGUUAUAAUCUUGAGAAAGUAAGAGUUUCUUUCUAUAUAAAAAGAUGUUAAAGAAAAAAAAUACAUCUAU